GUCCUAGCCGUAAACUAUGUAGACCAGGUGUGGGAGGUAUCGACCCCUCCCGUGCCGACGCUAACGCAUUAAGUCUACCGCCUGGGGAGUACGGCCGCAAGGUUAAAACUCAAAGGAAUUGACGGGGCCCGCACAAGCGGUGGAUCAUGUGGUUCAAUUCGACGCUACGCGAAGAACCUUACCUGGGCUCGAACGACUGGUAGUAGCCUGAAUGAAAGUUUAGGCGACCCGCAAGGGAGCCAGCCGAGGUGCUGCAUGGUUGUCGU
rnacentral:rRNA from 1 species